rnacentral:misc_RNA from 1 species
UGCAUGAUUCCUAUGAGGAACAGGUAAGACUAUGCAUGCAUGUAUGAAUAUGUAAAUUUUUGGAUUCAUGGUCUACUAUGCCCUUUGUAAGUUGCUAUUUCUAUAUGCGGAAUUUAAUUACCAUGGGUUCUGUGACAAGAGAACGUAAACAUGCACCUAAUCAAAUUAGUAAAAUUUCUUCUAAUUGUAAUUUUUAGUUCUUUGGAACUAAUGGCAUUUAUGUGAAGGCAGCUUCCAGGCUACAGACUUUAGACUAAGAAAUAUGCACGAGGUAUUAUCAUGAAGUUUUCUUCUUAAUCAACCAAAGCAUUUUAUGCUUUUUCUUUUGAGAAAUUUAAAGAUCCUAUUUUAAUUUUGGUAACUUAUAACAUUAAGUCCUUGUUGUGCUCUUUUGUUCUUUGAAAAAAUGAAAUGAAUCAACAUAAUUGAAAAAAUAGCUUUUCAGGAUCAAAUAACAGAAAGACACAUUCUUGUGCACACAUGCACACACUAAUAAUAUAAAACUGAAGUCAAGGAGCCAUGGUGUUGCUGUCAUUGUUGCGUAAAAAAAUUCUUCCACAUGUUAUGCUGUGAUGCUUGUGAAUCCAAUUGUUUGUUUCUGUUUUUUUCCUGAAUGUUUUCUGUCACAUUGUUUGUUUUAGAUUUUUUUUGCGGCAUAAUUUAAAUGUGAAUUUUAAUUUCUACCACACAUAUUACUGUUACUGCAAGUUAUUUAUUCAUAUUUGGUGCUUCAUGUUGUUCCCUGUAAUAUAGGAAGAUGGUGAUUUUGUUCUUG